rnacentral:lncRNA from 1 species
CUUCAAAGUAAUAGAGAUAAUUUAAUUUCAGAUACAGCUUUGUGUUGUUUCACAGGAUUUUCUAAAGUUAGGUAGUUAAGACAAUUAUAUUUUUACCUUAAGCCUGUUUCUUUUGAAAGUCUGUUUUUCUACACAAAGAUCCAAGAAAUGAGCAGCACAGAUGGAAAUCAAAAACAAAACAACAAUCAAAAAAGAACCUAUCAGCAAUUUUGACCACAAAAUACUGUCUUCACUCCUGCUAGGACUGAACUCAGGCCAAGUACUUUGCUACUGCUAGACUGAAAAAUACUGCUGUUAAAUUUUAUCCUGGGGAGAUUACCACCACCACUCACUGACCCUGUGCUUGGGAUAGGCCCACAGAAAACUCAUUAAAGCUCUCCUAAAUAGCUAAUUCUUUAUUUCUGUUUACAAUUACAAAUUUUAUAAGUUAUAUAUGUUCAUAAAUAUCCAUAUUAUCACAAUCCAUUUGAUAUGAUGAUUUUAACCCAAUUUAUAUUUAACGUAUAAGAUUUAAUACAAACUCAGGAUACCCCUCUUUCCUCCCUUCCUGGGGUGAAACUUAUUCUGUAC